UCUCUUCCGAGAAGCCAUUCCCGGGCUCCCACAUUCCUUCCCAGGGCAGAGAGGUUUUCUAAGGAUGUAAGAUGUUCAGUGUCAAAACGGGGUCAAGCCAUAUGGAUCUCUCCUGUGCACCUUUCUCGGGUCCAGCAGGUGUGUCACCUCCAGCCAUGGAAUGAACAGAGUGUCACAGUAGCCAAUGGUGUCUCCCACGGAAUGGCAAACAGCCAUGACCCGCUGAUGGCCAAUGUCCUGCAAGGACUCUGAAUGUACUCUGUGUGACCUGGGAAGCCACGGAAGCUGACAUGGGAAGCCAAGCUGAAGGAUGGGUUUGAAUACCCCAACUGCAACAAAGGACUGUAAAAUACCUUCAGGGAGGUCUGGAUUCAGAGUCCAACAUAGUGAGCACACAGUUGAUGGUCAACAAGUCCGUAAAUUGUGAAGGAAAAAUGCCCAGUUUAUCUGUUUUAAAGGGGAAGAAAAUAUUUUUUUCCCUUAAAAAUUCUGUUUUUGUGGUGUCCACUAUCAUUCAAAAUGCAUUUUGACAUAUACCUUAGUCUAAAUAAGAAGUUUGCCUGUUUUUCUAGGUAAAAGUGAACAUAAAAGAAUCAUAUCAGCUUUGUCUUGGGGAAAAAUUAUCACAAGAUCUGGCUGGGGUCAAAAGGCAUAGGGUAACUGUGACCUUUGAGGAAAUAAUAUCAAUGUGAUAAAAUACAUCA